rnacentral:rRNA from 1 species
UACGGAGGGUGCAAGCGUUGUCCGGAUUUAUUGGGGUUAAAGGGUGCGUAGGUGGCCGUUUAAGUCAGCUUUGAAAGCUGGUCGCUCAACGAUCAGGGGUGGGUUGACACUGGACGGCUUGGAUCAGGUGGCGGUUUCUGGAACGGGUCGUGUAGCGGUGAAAUGCAUAGAUAUGACCCAGAACUCCGAUUGCGAAGGCAGGAGGCUACGCCUGGAUUGACACUGAGGCACGAGAGCAUGGGGAGCAAACAGG